UACAGAGGUCCCGAGCGUUGUUCGGAUUCAUUGGGCGUAAAGGGUGCGUAGGCGGUUUGCUAAGUUUGAUGUGAAAUUCCAGGGCUCAACCCUGGCAUGGCAUUGAAUACUGGCGGACUAGAGUACUGGAGAGGAAACUGGAAUUUACGGUGUAGCAGUGAAAUGCGUAGAGAUCGUAAGGAAGACCAGUGGCGAAGGCGAGUUCUGGACAGUAACUGACGCUGAGGCACGAAGGCCAGGGGAGCAAACGGG
rnacentral:rRNA from 1 species